AUUGAACGCUGGCGGCAUGCCUUACACAUGCAAGUCGAACGGCAGCACGGGUGCUUGCACCUGUUGGCGAGUGGCGAACGGGUGAGUAAUACAUCGGAACAUGUCCUGUAGUGGGGGAUAGCCCGGCGAAAGCCGGAUUAAUACCGCAUACGAUCUACGGAUGAAAGCGGGGGACCGUCGGGCCUCGCGCUAUAGGGUUGGCCGAUGGCUGAUUAGCUAGUUGGUGGGGUAACGGCCUACCAAGGCGACGAUCAGUAGCUGGUCUGAGAGGACGACCAGCCACACUGGGACUGAGACACGGCCCAGACUCCUACGGGAGGCAGCAGUGGGGAAUUUUGGACAAUGGGCGAAAGCCUGAUCCAGCAAUGCCGCGUGUGUGAAGAAGGCCUUCGGGUUGUAAAGCACUUUUGUCCGGAAAGAAAUCCUUGGCCCUAAUACGGUCGGGGGAUGACGUUACCGGAAGAAUAAGCACCGGCUAACUACGUG
rnacentral:rRNA from 1 species